rnacentral:misc_RNA from 1 species
UGGCUCUGGCAUCGAUGAAGAACGCAGCGAAAUGCGAUAAGUAAUGUGAAUUGCAGAAUUCAGUGAAUCAUCGAAUCUUUGAACGCACCUUGCGCUCCUUGGUAUUCCGAGGAGCAUGCCUGUUUGAGUGUCUUGAAGUCAUCAACCCCUCCCGUUUUGCGGGAGCUGGGAUUGGAGUUGGGGGCUUGCUGCCGCAAGGCGGCUCCCCUCAAAUGCAUCGGUUGGACCUGCGGGUCGGACUCGACUGGGCGUUGUACCAUCCUCGCUCGACCGAGAAGCUCCCCUAUUGUGUCCUCCCACGACCUUGCCUGUGGAGCGGCGGUAAAUGUACUUUGAAAUCUGACCUCAAAUCAGGUAGGACUACCCGCUGA